GAGAAAGCCCACAAGAACUGCUAACUCACUAUCCCAUGUAUAACA
rnacentral:tRNA from 1 species